AGUGAAGUUUCAAUGAAAGUCAAUGGACGGCGUUAGUUGCAAACAAAUGAUUAUAUUGUGAAAACUAUCAGGACUACGGCUUAGCCGUUUACAUGUUUAGUGGCAGCAGGGAUAGCUGAACGUUUUGAUAUAAGAUUUGUGUAGGUGGGCUUGAAAAUGAGGGAGUAGUGGCAGUUUAGAAAUCAUGUCCUGAUUUUUCAGCUUUUGGCAGCUCCCACUCUAGCUUUGCCAUUCAUUCCUAUGGGACAAAUUGCGCCACAAAAACGACGAUAUUCCGUG